CGUAUGUAUAUGAGUAUAAGCUAAUUUUAAAGGUUAUAUUGUUGAAGAUUAAUUCGGUAAGUAGAAUUAUUCUAUUUCUUCUAUCAAUAUGAUAUAUAUAUAUUUAUAUUUCAAAAUAAAUGUUUAUAAUCUAAUUAAAAUAACUAUGUAAAUUUCAGUGGAAAAAAAAAAGAUUCUAUAAAGAGAAUCAUUUUACGAAAAAGAUCAUAUCACUCUGAAAAACCUUGAACAGCGCGAAAUUCAAAUCUGGCAGAAACGAGACCGAUAACUAGCAUCAGAAUUCAAUAACUUGUCCCAAUUUUUUUAACCGAUUAAGCAACAUAUCACCACGUUUUAUCGUAUUUUGAUAAACCAAUCCUCGAUCGCAGCUAGCAUCAGGCGGUUGUCCUCUGUCACAACCGGAUGCGCUAACGUAACACCAAAUUCGAUAGCCAUACGAUUUAAACUGAGCGUACGAUAUGCCUGUAAAAGUUGCGAAUACGCUUUUAUACGCAUCUCUCGAACGUAAUACUGAUAAUGUGGACGAAGAAGAGGAUCAAAUUUCAUUUCCAUUUCGAUCCAUGCGAGAUGUUGAAAGAAAUCAGCGAUACCAUUAUUAUUGAAUCGUUUAUCAAGGUCUGAUCUUGAUAAAGAGAUCAUACCAGCCAGGACAGUAUACUGUACGAUAUCCUUGAAUGGUAACAAUUCGUACGAUUCGAAGGUAGGAAUGCAGUCUAAUAAAAGAGACACG